AGGCUUAACACAUGCAAGUCGAGCGCGUAGCAAUACGAGCGGCAGACGGGUGAGUAACGCGUGGGAAUCUACCCUUUUCUACGGAAUAACGCAGGGAAACUUGUGCUAAUACCGUAUACGCCCUUCGGGGGAAAGAUUUAUCGGAGAAGGAUGAGCCCGCGUUGGAUUAGCUAGUUGGUGGGGUAAAGGCCUACCAAGGCGACGAUCCAUAGCUGGUCUGAGAGGA
rnacentral:rRNA from 1 species